rnacentral:misc_RNA from 2 species
ACACCUCAACUCUCAUGGCUUGCCAUGAUGAGCUUGGACUUUGGGGGUUUUGCUGGCCUAUGGUCAGCUCCUCUCAAAUGAAUUAGCUUCCCAGUGUUUGGUUGGCAUCACAGGUGUGAUAACUAUCUACGCUUGUGGUUUCCACCAGAUAACCUUCAGUAAUGUGGGGGUUCGCUGGAGCUCAUAAAUGUCUCUCCUCAGUGGGGACAGCUCUUUGAAC